UACGUAGGGUGCAAGCGUUAAUCGGAAUUACUGGGCGUAAAGCGUGCGCAGGCGGUUAUGUAAGACAGUUGUGAAAUCCCCGGGCUCAACCUGGGAAUUGCGAUGGAGACUGCAAGGCUAGAAUCUGGCAGAGGGGGGUAGAAUUCCACGUGUAGCAGUGAAAUGCGUAGAGAUGUGGAGGAACACCGAUGGCGAAGGCAGCCCCCUGGGUCAAGAUUGACGCUCAUGCAC
rnacentral:rRNA from 1 species